UGACUGCAUGCAUAUUGCAUUUACUGAGGUUGUGCACGUGUUCUCUAGGGGUGAUUUUCCUGUACCAGUCCAAUGCCUCCAGAGGAAGAUCAUACAUUUGCCAUUUUACUGCUUAGUACGCAUGCUUGAGCCUGCUCGCCCAACUGCUGAGAUCUUAUUCAGAAACUGCUGAUCACCAACUCCAGGUGUUUUUAUUACACAAGACAAAAACGGAAAAACAGUAACAAAUGAUUGGUUAAGCCUUUCAAAACAAAGAAGUGUAUGUGCUACAGUAUAUUUAGACCUAUUAUUCUUAAUCUUCUAAGUGGAACAUAAAAUCUUAAUGUCUA
rnacentral:lncRNA from 1 species